UACGUAGGGACCGAGCGUUGUCCGGAAUCAUUGGGCGUAAAGAGCGUGUAGGCGGCUUGUUAAGUCUUGCGUGAAAUCUCGGGGCUCAACCCCGAGCGGUCGUGAGAAACUGGCAGGCUAGAGUGCGGGAGAGGAGAGUGGAAUUCCCGGUGUAGCGGUGAAAUGCGCAGAUAUCGGGAAGAACACCCGUGGCGAAGGCGGCUACUCGUGGGACGGUACUGACGCUGAGACGCGAAAGCGUGGGGAGCGAACAGG
rnacentral:rRNA from 1 species